rnacentral:rRNA from 1 species
AGACCCGAAACCCGGUGAUCUAGCCAUGGGCAGGUUGAAGGUUGGGUAACACUAACUGGAGGACCGAACCGACUAAUGUUGAAAAAUUAGCGGAUGACCUGUGGCUGGGGGUGAAAGGCCAAUCAAACCGGGAGAUAGCUGGUUCUCCCCGAAAGCUAUUUAGGUAGCGCCUCGUGAAUUCAUCUCCGGGGGUAGAGCACUGUUUCGGCUAGGGGGCCAUCCCGGCUUACCAACCCGAUGCAAACUGCGAAUACCGGAGAAUGUUAUCACGGGAGACACACGGCGGGUGCUAACGUCCGUCGUGAAGAGGGAAACAACCCAGACCGCCAGCUAAGGUCCCAAAGUCAUGGUUAAGUGGGAAACGAUGUGGGAAGGCCCAGACAGCCAGGAUGUUGGCUUAGAAGCAGCCAUCAUUUAAAGAAAGCGUAAUAGCUCACUGGUCGAGUCGGCCUGCGCGGAAGAUGUAACGGGGCUAAACCAUGCACCGAAGCUGCGGCAGCGACGCUGAUGCGUUGUUGGGUAGGGGAGCGUUCUGUAAGCCUGCGAAGGUGGCCUGUGAGGGUUGCUGGAGGUAUCAGAAGUGCGAAUGCUGACAUAAGUAACGAUAAAGCGGGUGAAAAGCCCGCUCGCCGGAAGACCAAGGGUUCCUGUCCAACGUUAAUCGGGGCA